CACGCAGGCGGUCUUGCCAGUCAGAUGUGAAAGCCCGGGGCUCAACCCCGGAAGUGCAUUUGAAACUACAAGACUUGAGUACGGUAGAGGAGAGGGGAAUUCCUGGUGUAGAGGUGAAAUUCGUAGAUAUCAGGAGGAACACCGGUGGCGAAGGCGCCUCUCUGGACCGAAACUGACGCUGAGGUGCGAAGGCGUGGGUAGCGAACAGGAUUAGAUACCCUGGUAGUCC
rnacentral:rRNA from 1 species